CCUACGGGAGGCAGCAGUGGGGAAUCUUGGGCAAUGGGCGCAAGCCUGACCCAGCAACGCCGCGUGAAGGAAGAAGGCUUUCGGGUUGUAAACUUCUGUUAAGGGGGAAGAGCAGAAGACGGUACCCCUUGAAUAAGCCACGGCUAACUACGUGCCAGCAGCCGCGGUAAUACGUAGGUGGCAAGCGUUGUCCGGAUUUACUGGGUGUAAAGGGCGUGCAGCCGGAGAGACAAGUCAGAUGUGAAAUCCACGGGCUCAACCCGUGAACUGCAUUUGAAACUGUUUCACUUGAGUGUCGGAGAGGUAAUCGGAAUUCCUUGUGUAGCGGUGAAAUGCGUAGAUAUAAGGAAGAACACCAGUGGCGAAGGCGGAUUACUGGACGAUAACUGACGGUGAGGCGCGAAAGCGUGGGGAGCAAACAGGAUUAGAUACCCGUGUAGUC
rnacentral:rRNA from 1 species